rnacentral:rRNA from 1 species
CAUGGUUUUUUUGAUAUUGAUUUAAAAUCUGAUCUGCUCAAUGAUUAUUUAAAUUGCCGCAGUAAUUUAACUGUGCAAAGGUAGCAUAAUAAUUAGUUUUUUGAUUAAAAGCUGGAAUGAAUGAUUGGACGAUAGAACGGCUGUCUCUAUUUAAUUUGUUAAUUAAUUUUAUUUUUAAGUUAAAAAGCUUAAAUUUUAUUAAAAGACGAGAAGACCCUAUAGAGUUUUAUAUUAAUGUGACUAUAUUAAUUGGUAGUAGUUUAGUUUUUUUAAUAUUUGGUUGGGGUGACUUAAAAAUUUAAAUAAUUUUUUAAAAUUUUAAUUUUUAAUUUGAAAUUAUUUUAUCUAUUUUAUUAAAAAUAUAUUUAAUUACCUUAGGGAUAACAGCGUAAUUCUCGUUUAGAGUUCUUAUCGAAAAGAGAGUUUGCGACCUCGAUGUUGGAUUAAAAUUUAUUUUAGGUGCAGUAACUUAAGGAUUUAGUCUGUUCGACUUUUGAAAUUUUACAUGAUCUGAGUUUAGACCGGCGUGAGCCAGGUCGGAUUCUAUCUUUAAUUUUAUUAGAUAUUUUAGUACGAGAGGACCGAAUAUUAAUUAUAUUAAUUA